GGGCCCGUGGUCUAGCCAGGAUUAGGACGCUGGCCUGCGGAGCCGGAGACCCUGGGUUCGAAUCCCAGCGGGCCCGCCA
rnacentral:tRNA from 1 species